rnacentral:misc_RNA from 1 species
GAUGAAGAACGUAGCGAAAUGCGAUAAGUAGUGUGAAUUGCAGAAUUCAGUGAAUCAUCGAAUCUUUGAACGCACAUUGCGCCCCUUGGUAUUCCAUGGGGCAUGCCUGUUCGAGCGUCAUUUGUACCUUCAAGCUCUGCUUGGUGUUGGGUGUUUGUCUCGCCUCUGCGUGUAGACUCGCCUCAAAACAAUUGGCAGCCGGCGUAUUGAUUUCGGAGCGCAGUACAUCUCGCGCUUUGCACUCAUAACGACGACGUCCAAAAGUACAUUUCUACACUCUUGACCUCGGAUCAGGUAGGGAUACCCGCUGAACUUAAGCAUAUCAAUAAGCGGAGGA